CAGUAGCUAGUCCAACUAGGACGACUAAUUUCGGCUUAGAAAAUCCAAACUUUAACCUUUGGGCUACUAA
rnacentral:tRNA from 1 species